rnacentral:rRNA from 1 species
ACUCUUGACAUCCAGAGAACUUUCCAGAGAUGGGUUGGUGCCUUCGGGAACUCUGAGACAGGUGCUGCAUGGCUGUCGUCAGCUCGUGUUGUGAAAUGUUGGGUUAAGUCCGCAACGAGCGCAACCCCUAUCCUUUGUUGCCAGCGAUUCGGUCGGGAACUCAAAGGAGACUGCCGGUGAUAAACCGGAGGAAGGUGGGGAUGACGUCAAGUCAUCAUGGCCCUUACGAGUAGGGCUACACACGUGCUACAAUGGCGUAUACAAAGAGAAGCGACCUCGCGAGAGCAAGCGGACCUCAUAAAGUACGUCGUAGUCCGGAUUGGAGUCUGCAACUCGACUCCAUGAAGUCGGAAUCGCUAGUAAUCGUAGAUCAGAAUGCUACGGUGAAUACGUUCCCGGGCCUUGUACACACCGCCCGUCACACCAUGGGAGUGGGUUGCAAAAGAAGUAGAUAGCUUAACCUUCGGGAGGGCGUUUACCACUUUGUGAUUCAUGACUGGGGUGAAGUCGUAACAAGGUAGGCGUAGCGAG